rnacentral:rRNA from 1 species
UACGUAGGGUGCGAGCGUUAAUCGGAAUUACUGGGCGUAAAGCGUGCGCAGGCGGUUGUGCAAGACAGGUGUGAAAUCCCCGGGCUAACCUGGGAACUGCACUUGUGACUGCACGACUGAGUACGGCAGAGGGGAUGGAAUUCCGCGUGUAGCAGUGAAAUGCGUAGAUAUGCGGAGGAACACCGAUGGCGAAGGCAGUCCCCUGGGCCUGUACUGACGCUCAUGCACGAAAGCGUGGGGAGCGAACAGG